rnacentral:rRNA from 1 species
UACGUAUGGGGCAAGCGUUAUCCGGAAUUAUUGGGCGUAAAGAGUGCGUAGGUGGUUACCUAAGCGCAAGGUUUAAUCUUGAGGCUCAACCUCAUUCUGCCUUGCGAACUGGGCUACUUGAGUGCAGGAGGGGAAAGCGGAAUUCCCAGUGUAGCGGUGAAAUGCGUAGAUAUUGGGAAGAACACCGGUGGCGAAGGCGGAUUUCUGGACUGUAACUGACACUGAGGCACGAAAGCGUGGGGAGCAAACAGGAUUAGAUACCCUGGUAGUCCCU